rnacentral:rRNA from 1 species
ACGUAGGGAGCAAGCGUUGUCCGGAUUUACUGGGCGUAAAGAGCGCGUAGGCGGCUCGUUAAGUGUGAAGUGAAAUCUCCAGUGCUCAACACGGAAACUGCUUUACAUACUGGCGAGCUUGAGGAAAGCAGAGGUAACUGGAAUUCCUGGUGUAGCGGUGAAAUGCGUUGAUAUCAGGAGGAACACCCAUGGCGAAGGCAGGUUACUGGGCUUUAUCUGACGCUGAGGCGCGAAAGCGUGGGUAGCAAACAGGAUUAGAUACCCUGGUAGUCCACGCCCUAAACGAUGGAUACUAGUCGUGAGAGGUAUCGACCCCUCUCGUGACCGUAGCUAACGCGUUAAGUAUCCCGCCUGGGGACUACGGCCGCAAGGUUG